UUGAUGCAAGGUUAAGCAGUAAAUGUGGAGCCGUAGCGAAAGCGAGUCUGAAUAGGGCGUUUAGUAUUUGGUCGUAGACCCGAAACCAGGUGAUCUACCCUUGGUCAGGUUGAAGUUCAGGUAACACUGAAUGGAGGACCGAACCGACUUACGUUGAAAAGUGAGCGGAUGAACUGAGGGUAGCGGAGAAAUUCCAAUCGAACCUGGAGAUAGCUGGUUCUCUCCGAAAUAGCUUUAGGGCUAGCCUCAAGUGAUGAUUAUUGGAGGUAGAGCACUGUUUGGACGAGGGGCCCCUCUCGGGUUACCGAAUUCAGACAAACUCCGAAUGCCAAUUAAUUUAACUUGGGAGUCAGAACAUGGGUGAUAAGGUCCGUGUUCGAAAGGGAAACAGCCCAGACCACCAGCUAAGGUCCCAAAAUAUAUGUUAAGUGGAAAAGGAUGUGGCGUUGCCCAGACAACUAGGAUGUUGGCUUAGAAGCAGCCAUCAUUUAAAGAGUGCGUAAUAGCUCACUAGUCGAGUGACACUGCGCCGAAAAUGUACCGGGGCUAAACAUAUUACCGAAGCUGUGGAUUGUCCUUUGGACAAUGGUAGGAGAGCGUUCUAAGGGCGUUGAAGCAUGAUCGUAAGGACAUGUGGAGCGCUUAGAAGUGAGAAUGCCGGUGUGAGUAGCGAAAGACGGGUGAGAAUCCCGUCCACCGAUUGACUAAGGUUUCCAGAGGAAGGCUCGUCCGCUCUGGGUUAGUCGGGUCCUAAGCUGAGGCCGACAGGCGUAGGCGAUGGAUAACAGGUUGAUAUUCCUGUACCACCUAUAAUCGUUUUAAUCGAUGGGGGGACGCAGUAGGAUAGGCGAAGCGUGCGAUUGGAUUGCACGUCUAAGCAGUAAGGCUGAGUAUUAGGCAAAUCCGGUACUCGUUAAGGCUG
rnacentral:rRNA from 1 species